rnacentral:rRNA from 1 species
AGAGUUUGAUCAUGGCUCAGGAUGAACGCUAGCGGCAGGCUUAAUACAUGCAAGUCGAGGGGCAGCGCAGUGUAGCAAUACAUGGGCGGCGACCGGCAAACGGGUGCGGAACACGUACGCAACCUUCCUUCAAAUGAGGAAUAGCCUUUCGAAAGAGAGAUUAAUACCUCGUAACAUUUUCUGGUGGCAUCACUGGAUUAUUAUAGCUCCGGCGUUUGAAGAUGGGCGUGCGCCUGAUUAGGUAGUUGGCGGAGUAACAGCCCACCAAGCCUACGAUCAGUAACUGGUGUGAGAGCACGACCAGUCACACGGGCACUGAGACACGGGCCCGACUCCUACGGGAGGCAGCAGUAAGGAAUAUUGGUCAAUGGACGCAAGUCUGAACCAGCCAUGCCGCGUGGAGGAUGAAGGUCCUCUGGAUUGUAAACUUCUUUUAUCGGAGAAGAAACCCUAGCAUUCUUGCUGGGUUGACGGUACCCGAUGAAUAAGCACCGGCUAACUCCGUGCCAGCAGCCGCGGUAAUAC